rnacentral:lncRNA from 1 species
AAUAUAUUCCAUUUAUAGAUAUUUCACCGACUCUGCAAUGGAUUUUGUUUGUUGAUCCACUGUAUUCUGUGCUAUGUUUUUCAUAUUUUGCUGAAUGUUAUCUGCCAUUGUCACUAGGAAAUAAUGUUUAUGUUUUGAAGGCUGUUGAAGAUGCAUUCUUGCAUGGGCUUCCGACAUAAAACAGAAAAAGAAGCAUGAAUCAUUAAUUAGUUCAUAGAACUAUUGGUAGUUUUUUUUUUUUAGUUAAGGAAAAGCAUAUAUCAUGUUGAACCUCACCAAUAAUCAGUACAUACUCUGUAAUAAUCAGUUCAUCUCCUUGAUCAAUUGCAAUUGGUGGUAGCUGCAGUGAUGUCAAUUCCUUAUUUUAAGAUAAUUGAAAAUCUAUUCUCUGAUACCUCGGAUCCAGCACCUGGCAAGCCCGUGCUGGAUCCGUCGGAAGGAGUUUUUUCUGUUGGGAAUAAAUCAAGUUUUAAGGUUAUAUUACUGGUAUUUCGUUUUAAAUUCAGCCCUGACUUCUAGCUCAGUUGGUUGGAGCUUGUAUGUUUAUGUUGGAUGUUUUGUGUUCAAAUCCCCUUGCCAGCAAAAUUUAUUUUAUAAUGCUUUUAUUCUACAUUUUUUACAAAAAUUCAAUAGGAAGUGGAGCAAAGGAGUUUCGAACUCGGGUCCUAUUUGAUGGAGGUAUUGGAGCUUGACCAUUACGCUACUUGUGGAUUGCUAUCUUUGUGUUUAACAAAGUAAUAUUUAUUAGGUUUUAUUUUGUUUGCAAGUACAAUUGCAAAGAUAUGAA